rnacentral:rRNA from 1 species
GAUGAACGCUGACAGAAUGCUUAACACAUGCAAGUCCACUUGAACUUCGGUUUGGGUGGCGGACGGGUGAGUAACGCGUAGAGAACUUGCCUCACAGAUAGGGACAACAUUUGGAAACGAAUGCUAAUACCUGAUAUUAUGAUUAUAUGGCAUCGUAUAAUUAUGAAAGCUAUAUGCGCUGUGAGAGAGCUUUGCGUCCCAUUAGCUAGUUGGAGAGGUAACGGCUCACCAAGGCGAUGAUGGGUAGCCGGCCUGAGAGGGUGAUCGGCCACAAGGGGACUGAGACACGGCCCUUACUCCUACGGGAGGCAGCAGUGGGGAAUAUUGGACAAUGGACCAAGAGUCUGAUCCAGCAAUUCUGUGUGCACGAUGAAGUUUUUCGGAAUGUAAAGUGCUUUCAGUUGGGAAGAAAAAAAUGACGGUACCAACAGAAGAAGUGACGGCUAAAUACGUG